UACUUAGGGGGCAAGCGUUGUCCGGAAUUAUUGGGCGUAAAGCGCGCGCAGGUGGUUUCUUAAGUCUGAUGUGAAAGCCCACGGCUCAACCGUGGAGGGUCAUUGGAAACUGGGGAACUUGAGUGCAGGAGAGAAGAGUGGAAUUCCACGUGUAGCGGUGAAAUGCGUAGAGAUGUGGAGGAACACCAGUGGCGAAGGCGACUCUUUGGCCUGUAACUGACGCUGAGGCGCGAAAGCGUGGGGAGCAAACAGG
rnacentral:rRNA from 1 species